GAUGAACGCUGGCGGCGUGCCUAAUACAUGCAAGUCGAGCGAACGGACGAGAAGCUUGCUUUUCUGAUGUUAGCGGCGGACGGGUGAGUAACAUGUGGAUAACCUACCUAUAAGACUGGGAUAACUUCGGGAAACCGGAGCUAAUACCGGAUAAUAUUUUGAACCGCAUGGUUCAAAAGAGAAAGACGGUCUUGCUGUCACUUACACAUGGAUCUGAGCUGGAUUAGCUAGUUGGUAAGGUAACGGCUUACCAAGGCAACGAUGCAUAUCCGACCUGAGAGGCUGAUCGCCCACCCUGGAACUUAACCACCGUCCAUGCUCCUACGGUACGCAGCAGUAUGCAACCUUCCGCAAUGGUCGAAAACCUUACGCAACGACGCCGCGUGAGUGAUGAAGGUCUUCCGAUCGUAAAACUCUCUUAUUAGUUAAAAACAUAUUUCUACUUAACUGUACACAUCUUGACGGUACCUAAUCAGAAAGCCACGGCUAACUACGUG
rnacentral:rRNA from 1 species